rnacentral:ncRNA from 22 species
UGUUGAUCGAAUUUUUCAGAUGCUCUUGUUUGAGCUUAAUAGGGAACCUGGUGUAAAUCCAGGACGGGCCCACCGCUGUAACCGAGGACGAAUGUUGCAUAAUGUCACUGUUUGCCAAGCGCAAAUGGGAAGACGCAACUAGUAGGAUGAAUCGGAAGUCAGAAGACCUGUCUGAAAACAAAAAGAGCCU